rnacentral:rRNA from 1 species
GACGAACGCUGGCGGCGUGCUUAACACAUGCAAGUCGAACGGUGAAGCGCCUUCCUUUUUGGUGGGUGUGGAUGAGUGGCGAACGGGUGAGUAACACGUGAGUAACCUGCCCCCUUCUUCUGGAUAACCGCAUGAAAGUGUGGCUAAUACGGGAUAUUCUGGGUCUGUCGCAUGAUGGGUCUGGGACAGAUAUUGUUUCGGUGGGGGAUGGGCUCGCGGCCUAUCAGCUUGUUGGUGGGGUGAUGGCCUACCAAGGCGGUGACGGGUAGCCGGCCUGAGAGGGUGGACGGUCACACUGGGACUGAGACACGGCCCAGACUCCUACGGGAGGCAGCAGUGGGGAAUAUUGCACAAUGGGCGCAAGCCUGAUGCAGCGACGCCGCGUGAGGGAUGGAGGCCUGCGGGUUGUGAACCUCUUUCGCCAGUGAAGCAGGCCUGCCUCGUUUGUGGGUGGGUUGACGGUAGCUGGAUAAGAAGCGCCGGCUAACUACGUG